rnacentral:rRNA from 1 species
GAUGAACGCUGGCGGCGUGCCUAAUACAUGCAAGUCGAGCGAACGGACGAGAAGCUUGCUUCUCUGAUGUUAGCGGCGGACGGGUGAGUAACACGUGGAUAACCUACCUAUAAGACUGGGAUAACUUCGGGAAACCGGAGCUAAUACCGGAUGAUAUUUUGAACCGCAUGGUUCAAAAGUGAAAGACGGUCUUGCUGUCACUUAUAGAUGGAUCCGCGCUGCAUUAGCUAGUUGGUAAGGUAACGGCUUACCAAGGCAACGAUGCGUAGCCGACCUGAGAGGGUGAUCGGCCACACUGGAACUGAGACACGGUCCAGACUCCUACGGGAGGCAGCAGUAGGGAAUCUUCCGCAAUGGGCGAAAGCCUGACGGAGCAACGCCGCGUGAGUGAUGAAGGUCUUCGGAUCGUAAAACUCUGUUAUUAGGGAAGAACAUAUGUGCAAGUAACUGUGCACAUCUUGACGGUACCUAAUCAGAAAGCCACGGCUAACUACGUG